GACGAACGCUGGCGGCGUGCUUAACACAUGCAAGUCGAGCGGUAAGGCCUUUCGGGGUACACGAGCGGCGAACGGGUGAGUAACACGUGGGUGAUCUGCCCUGCACUUCGGGAUAAGCCUGGGAAACUGGGUCUAAUACCGGAUAUGACCUCCUAUCGCAUGGUGGGUGGUGGAAAGAUUUAUCGGUGCAGGAUGGGCCCGCGGCCUAUCAGCUUGUUGGUGGGGUAAUGGCCUACCAAGGCGACGACGGGUAGCCGACCUGAGAGGGUGACCGGCCACACUGGGACUGAGACACGGCCCAGACUCCUACGGGAGGCAGCAGGGGGGAAUAUUGCACAAUGGGCGAAAGCCUGAUGCAGCGACGCCGCGUGAGGGAUGACGGCCUUCGGGUUGUAAACCUCUUUCAGCAGGGACGAAGCGCAAGUGACGGUACCUGCAGAAGAAGCACCGGCUAACUACGUG
rnacentral:rRNA from 1 species